CGGGGUGAGUAAUGUCUGGGAAACUGCCUGAUGGAGGGGGAUAACUACUGGAAACGGUAGCUAAUACCGCAUAAUGUCGCAAGACCAAGAGGGGGACCUUCGGGCCUCUUGCCAUCGGAUGUGCCCAGAUGGGAUUAGCUAGUAGGUGGGGUAACGGCUCACCUAGGCGACGAUCCCUAGCUGGUCUGAGAGGAUGACCAGCCACACUGGAACUGAGACACGGUCCAG
rnacentral:rRNA from 1 species